AGCCUCGUGGUGAAGAAACACGUUGGAUUGCAAAUCCAGAGACGUAGAGUAAUACUCUGCCGGGGCUU
rnacentral:tRNA from 1 species